rnacentral:rRNA from 1 species
GCUUACGGCCACACCACCCUGAGCACGCCCGAUCUCGUCCGAUCUCGGAAGCUAAGCAGGGUCGGGCCUGGUUAGUACUUGGAUGGGAGACCCCUGGGAAUACCAGGUGCUGUAAGCU